GACGAACGCUGGCGGCGUGCUUAACACAUGCAAGUCGAACGGAAAGGCCCUGCUUGCAGGGUACUCGAGUGGCGAACGGGUGAGUAACACGUGGGUGAUCUGCCCUGCACUUCGGGAUAAGCCUGGGAAACUGGGUCUAAUACCGGAUAUGACCUUCCAUGUAGUGUGGGGGGUGGAAAGAUUUAUCGGUGUGGGAUGAGCCCGCGGCCUAUCAGCUUGUUGGUGGGGUAAUGGCCUACCAAGGCGUCGACGGGUAGCCGGCCUGAGAGGGUGGACGGCCACAUUGGGACUGAGAUACGGCCCAGACUCCUACGGGAGGCAGCAGUGGGGAAUAUUGCACAAUGGGCGGAAGCCUUAUGCAGCGACGCCGCGUGGGGGAUGACGGCCUUCGGGUUGUAAACCUCUUUCGACAGGGACGAAGCUUCGGUGACGGUACCUGUGUAAGAAGCACCGGCUAACUACGUG
rnacentral:rRNA from 1 species